CCUACGGGUGGCUGCAGUGGGGAAUAUUGGACAAUGGGCGCAAGCCUGAUCCAGCCAUACCGCGUGGGUGAAGAACGGCCUUCGGGUUGUAAAGCCCUUUUCCGUUGGGAAAGACAAUCCAGCCGGCUAAUACCUGGUUGGGAUGACGGUACCCAAAGAAUAAGCACCGGCUAACUUCCGUGCCAGCACGCCGCGGUACAUACGAACGGGUGCAAGCGUUCACUCGGCAAUUCACUCGGGCGCUACAACGCGUGCGCUACGGUGGUUGUCUUAAGUCUGCUUGUGACAAGCCCUGGGCUCAACCUGGGAACUGCACGUGGAAACUCGGACAACUAGAGUGUGGUAGAGGGUAGCGGAAUUCCCGGUGUAGCAGUGAAAUGCGUAGAGAUCGGGCAGGAACAUCCAUGGCGACAGGCAGCUCACCUGGAACCAACACUGACACUGAGCGCACGAAAGCGUGGGGAGCAAACAGGAUUAGAUACCCCAGUAGUC
rnacentral:rRNA from 1 species